GACUGGCAGGCUCCGGCCGCCGCGGGGGGCGGGGCGCCGGCGGGCGCGCGGCUGAGGCGCUCGCAAGGGUCCCGCCCGGCCAGGGGAAGGGACGGCGUAGCGGCACCGCCGGGCCCGGCCCGGCCCCGGGGGGAACCGGUAUCGGGGGGAGCCCCGUGGGCCCCGGGGCGGUGGCAGCGGCGUCUCGGUGCAGGCCGCCCUCAGGCGCCCGCUCCCGCCCGGUUUGUCCCUUGGGGUCGAGGGUUCGUGUCUCCGGCGGCAGCUUCCCCUCUCCUCCGUUGUGCGGCCUUGGGACUUCGCCAGAAUGAAACCCAAGCAGUUUGUGAAGAAAGCAGGCUCCCUCCGUUCGUGUUUCCUCUUCCACCCGCCUGCACCGCUCAUCGGCUCUCUGCCCCGGACUGAGCGGGUCCCGGCUCUGCGUGGCACGAUCACACAAUGCCUGCAAAUAGCAAGUGCUGCGUAUAUGCUAUUUCUGGAUAAAGAUUUUCCUGGUUUUACGUGGAAAAAUCGUAUCACUUUCUAAAGUAGAGUAGCCGUCUCGUUGGAGGUGAGAGGGAAGCGCGUGGGCUAGGGACGUGCUCUCCUCGGCAGGGUGGGAAGCGUGGUUUGGAGCGGGGGGAGAUGCCUUCUCCUCCUCGGAGGUGAUCGCUUCGUGCUGCCGCACCUGUGGUUCUGGAGGCGGCUGCUGCCAGCAGAAGCCCCGAGGCGGAUAGAAAAGGCUUGGGGAAGGUGUCAAACCGCACUGCCAGUGUUUCUGCAGCACCUAGUGCGCUAGGAUCCUGGUAUAUAAUUGCUGUUCCUAGGAGUUCUAAUAAUGGAAAUGUUGCAGAGAACGCUGGGAAGUGCCUGUGACUUUUCUGAUGGCACCACCUAGAGUUAACCGUUGAGAAGAACGGCGUACAGAAGGCGAAGCUUUUGGCUUGGUCUGUCAUUGGCAUCUCUCGAGAUAAAAGCGGUCGCAUUUUUCAUCUUUGGCACUCCUGCAGCUGUAGGUAUAGUACUGUGCAUCUACGUUGUGUCCAGAACACAUAUCCUGAGCUGGGAAUUAGAGGAAGCCUUCAUUCCUGCAAGUACCGUUAUCCCAAAAAAUAUUUGGUGUCAACAUCAUCCAAAGAUGAGGAAGAGUUGAAAGAUUUGAGUGAUGGGCGGACAAGUCACCCAAAUAAGACCCAAUGUUAUAUCAACUCCAAUGGUGUCUGCAUUACCUGGGGCUUCCAGAUAAAAUAAUAACCUACAUGAGGAGGUCUCAAAAAACAGGAGAGAGGAGGUUUUGAAGAAGCUUUCCACUUCCGCCUUUGUUUACUCAUCUUUCUUUUUUGGAGCUGUGCAUGUAAAUGAUCUUAUUUGCCAGCACGCAUGUGGAAAACAACUUCAGUAGUUUCUGAGAAAUUAACAUUUUUAAUUAUCACACAUCAAAAUUAUUAUUUUGGCUGGCUAUUGCACUCGAUUCAAUCAUUAAAUUUGCAUGAACGAACUUUGUCAUCUUUGAAAAGAAUCUCCAAAGGGUAAACCAAAAAAUUUCUACGCAACAAGAGAGAGGUUUAGGCGAGAUGGGCGCAGAGGAGCAGCACACGAGGCACUGCUGGGGCUGUGCCUCGCUUGUACAGAGUCAAGAGACUUUGCUGCUUACCAAGGACGCACCAAGCCAUUACUCAAGCCCCGUGGCUAUAGAUCCACAGAACAGACAUCCAAGGGUGCCAGCACCGCUGAAGGGAACGGUGCUGUUCCUCCCCUUGCUCCCAGCCGCUUGUUCCUAUGGCUGUAUCAUCCCUCCCAACAAGCCAACACAAGCAUCCAGUGCGGCCGCAUCGCCUGCAGUGUCACGAAGCAAGCUGGGAUGUGGUGCGUUAGCUCACAAAUACAGUUGUUUAAUAGCA